UACGGAGGAUCCAAGCGUUAUCCGGAAUUACUUGGCGUAAAGCGUUGCGUAGGGGGCAUAGCAAGUAGGUAGUGAAAGCGUGGGGCUCAACUCCAUAAACAUUAUCUAAACUGCGAAGCUUGAGAAUGAGAGAGGUAGAUGGAAUUUCCAGUGUAGGAGUGAAAUCCGUAGAUAUUGGAAGGAACACCGAUGGCGUAGGCAGUCUACUGGCUCAUUUCUGACACUAAGGCACGAAAGCGUGGGGAGCAAACAGG
rnacentral:misc_RNA from 1 species